rnacentral:rRNA from 1 species
GACGAACGCUGACGGCGUGCUUUAGACAUGCAAGUCGAACGAGAGAGCCCUUCGGGGUUAGUAAAGUGGCGAACGGGUGAGUAACACGUGGGCAAUCUGCCCUUCGUUGGGGGACAACCGGGGGAAACCCCGGCUAAUACCCCGUAAGCUUGUCGGGUCGCAUGGCCUGACAAGGAGAGGUAGCUUCGGCCAUCCGGCGAAGGAGGAGCCCGCGGUACAUUAGCUAGUUGGUGAGGUAAAGGCCCACCAAGGCGACAAUGUAUAGCUGGUCUGAGAGGAUGAUCAGCCACACUGGGACUGAGACACGGCCCAGACUCCUACGGGAGGCAGCAGUCGGGAAUCUUGCACAAUGGGCGAAAGCCUGAUGCAGCAACGCCGUGUGAGCGACGAAGGCCCUAGGGUCGUAAAGCUCUGUUGUUAGGGACGAAGGGCGAAGGGUUAAUAGCCCUUAGCCUGACGGUGCCUUUCGAGGAAGCCCCGGCUAACUACGUGCCAGCCGCCGCAGUAA